GGCGGACUCUAAAGGGACUGCCGGUGUUAAACCGGAGGAAGGUGGGGAUGACGUCAAGUCCUCAUGGCCUUUAUGACCAGGGCUACACACGUACUACAAUGGCCGAUACAAAGGGCAGCGACACUGCGAGGUGAAGCCAAUCCCGUAAAAUCGGUCUCAGUCCGGAUUGGAGUCUGCAACUCGACUCCAUGAAGUUGGAAUCGCUAGUAAUCGUGGAUCAGCAUGCCACGGUGAAUACGUUCCCGGGCCUU
rnacentral:rRNA from 1 species